rnacentral:rRNA from 1 species
GGGGAAUUUUGGACAAUGGGCGCAAGCCUGAUCCAGCCAUGCCGCGUGAGUGAAGAAGGCCUUCGGGUUGUAAAGCUCUUUCGGCUGGGAAGAAAUCGCACUCUCUAACACAGGGUGUGGAUGACGGUACCAGCAUAAGAAGCACCGGCUAACUACGUGCCAGCAGCCGCGGUAAUACGUAGGGUGCGAGCGUUAUUCGGAAUUACUGGGCGUAAAGCGUGCGCAGGCGGUUGUGUAAGACAGACGUGAAAUCCCCGGGCUCAACCUGGGAACUGCGUUUGUGACUGCACGGCUAGAGUACGGCAGAGGGGGGUGGAAUUCCACGUGUAGCAGUGAAAUGCGUAGAGAUGUGGAGGAACACCGAUGGCGAAGGCAGCCCCCUGGGCCAGUACUGACGCUCAUGCACGAAAGCGUGGGGAGCAAAC